rnacentral:rRNA from 1 species
AUUGAACGCUGGCGGCAUGCCUUACACAUGCAAGUCGAACGGCAGCAUGGAGAGCUUGCUCUCUGAUGGCGAGUGGCGAACGGGUGAGUAAAGCAUCGGAACGUACCGUGUAAUGGGGGAUAACGUAGCGAAAGUUACGCUAAUACCGCAUACGACCUGAGGGUGAAAGCAGGGGAUCGCAAGACCUUGCGUUAUACGAGCGGCCGAUGUCAGAUUAGCUAGUUGGUGAGAUAAAGGCUCACCAAGGCGACGAUCUGUAGCGGGUCUGAGAGGAUGAUCCGCCACACUGGGACUGAGACACGGCCCAGACUCCUACGGGAGGCAGCAGUGGGGAAUUUUGGACAAUGGGGGCAACCCUGAUCCAGCCAUGCCGCGUGAGUGAAGAAGGCCUUCGGGUUGUAAAGCCCUUUCGGCCGGGAAGAAAUCGCACAGGCUAAUACUCUGUGUGGAUGACGGUACCGGCAUAAGAAGCACCGGCUAACUACGUGCCAGCCGCCGCCGUAACAC